CAAGUCGAACGAUUAAAGCUCUCUUCGGAGAGUGCAUAGAGUGGCGCACGGGUGAGUAACACGUAAGUAAUCUACCUUCGAGUGGGGAAUAACAUCGGGAAACCGAUGCUAAUACCGCAUAAUGCAGCGGCAUCGCAAGAUGACAGUUGUUAAAGAUUUAUCGCUUGAAGAGGAGCUUGCGGCAGAUUAGCUAGUUGGUAAGGUAAUGGCUUACCAAGGCUACGAUCUGUAACCGGUCUAAGAGGACGGUCGGUCACACUGACACUGAAUAACGGGUCAGACUCCUACGGGAGGCAGCAGUCGGGAAUUUUGGGCAAUGGGCGAAAGCCUGACCCAGCAACGCCGCGUGAAGGAUGAAGUAUUUCGGUAUGUAAACUUCGAAAGAAUAGGAAGAAUAAAUGACGGUACUAUUUAUAAGGUCCGGCUAACUACGUGCCAGCAGCCGCGGUAAUACGUAGGGACCAAGCGUUGUUCGGAUUUACUGGGCGUAAAGGGCGCGUAGGCGGCAAUUCAAGUCAUCUGUGAAAUCUCCGGGCUUAACUCGGAACGGUCAGAUGAUACUGCUUUGCUAGAGUGCGGAAGGGGCAAUCGGAAUUCUUGGUGUAGCGGUGAAAUGCGUAGAUAUCAAGAGGAACACCUGAGGUGAAGACGGGUUGCUGGGCCGACACUGACGCUGAUGCGCGAAAGCCAGGGGAGCAAACGGGAUUAGAUACCCCGGUAGUCCUGGCCCUAAACGAUGAAUACUUGGUGUCUGGAGUCUUUAAUGCUCCGGGUGCCGUCGCUAACGUUUUUAGUAUUCCGCCUGGGGAGUACGCUCGCAAGAGUGAAACUCAAAGGAAUUGACGGGGACCCCCACAAGCGGUGGAGCAUGUGGUUAAUUCGACGCACGCGAAGACCUUACCUGGACU
rnacentral:rRNA from 1 species